CAGGGAAUUCAAGAACCUCUUUUUUUUUAGGAAAGUGGAUUAGUCGUUUUAGGGCAACACAAGAUUUAUUCAGUCUACUUCUCUCUGUUUCGUACAAACAUAAAAUAUGUAUUUUUUUACUUCGAUCUAUUUUUUCAAUUUACUUUCGUCCAGUAAUCCAAUUUAAUAUGUGCAAACUAUACUCUGUUCUGAUGGAAUUUGUUUGAUGGUGUUGUUCCGGUCAUGCAGUGUAUAUGCAUCAAGAAGACGGCACCUGAGCAAUAUUUAUUGAAAGCAACAUGUGAAACAAAAAUAUUCACGCUUUUAGAUUUCAUCUGAGGAUUUAUUAUUUGUGAUGUUUUUUCCGUGGCUGUGCAGGAUUGGAUAUAUCAUGAUCACUGAUGCCGAGAAGGGUUCAUCGUCCCAAUCAAGAUGGCGUGAGAAUUGUAAAACACAUGAAUUUCUGGAAGAAAGGAUGCAGAGAAACAUGAGGGAGAUCCACUCGAUCCAAGAUGUUGCAGGUUCCCUGCUCCACCCCCACAGAAGGCUCAUCAACAUCAAGUUCUUUUCCCUAUAAUCUCCUCCCUACUCCCUAUGGUAGAAUUUAAAUCCAAUGCAUGUUUCGUUCUACUUGCUAGAACCAGAAUGAAUGCAUUUUACUGUGUGACAAAGAUAAUUCAUAGAUUGUAUUGUGUGGCAGCACAAAACCAUGUACGUGUUGUUACAACAAGUUGACUACGAGUAUAUGAAGUAGAUGUGCCAUGGCCUUGUCCAUGGACCUAUCC